CCCUUAGAUGUCCUGGGCCGCACGCGCGCUACACUGAGUGUCUGAGAUACGAGUCUGCCUGGUCCGGCAAGGUCUAGGUAAUCGCUAAAAGACACAUCAUGCUUGGGAUAGAUUAUUGCAAAUAUUAAUCUUGAACGAGGAAUUCCUAGUAAGCGCAAGUCAACAGCUUGCGUUGAUUACGUCCCUGCCCUUUGUACACACCGCCCGUCGCUACUACUGAUUGGAUGUUUAAGCGAGGUUCUCGAACUGCUAGCGACUUAGCUUCGGUGAGGUCGCAGUGUGGGAAGUGAGCCGAGCUUUGGUGUCUAGAGGAAGUAAAAGUCGUAACA
rnacentral:rRNA from 1 species